CCCGGGCCUUGUACACACCGCCCGUCACACCACGAGAGUUUGUAACACCCGAAGUCGGUGGAGUAACCGUAAGGAGCUAGCCGCCUAAGGUGGGACAGAUGAUUGGGGUGAAGUCGUAAACAAGGUACC
rnacentral:rRNA from 1 species